rnacentral:pre_miRNA from 9 species
AAAGACCUGAGAAUAAAAAUGCUUGUCUGUAGCUGGUUGAAAUUGGGCCAAAUUAGAAAAAGGUCAAGCAUUUGGUCCCCUUCAACCAGCUGUAGUUGGCAGAACAAUCAACAAUAUAUGAUU